GAUGAACGCUGGCGGCGUGCCUAAUACAUGCAAGUCGAGCGAACAGAUGAGGAGCUUGCUCCUCUGGCGUUAGCGGCGGACGGGUGAGUAACACGUGGAUAACCUACCUAUAAGACUGGGAUAACUUCGGGAAACCGGAGCUAAUACCGGAUAAUAUAUUGAACCGCAUGGUUCAAUAAUGAAAGACGGUUUUGCUGUCACUUAUAGAUGGAUCCGCGCCGCAUUAGCUAGUUGGUAAGGUAACGGCUUACCAAGGCAACGAUGCGUAGCCGACCUGAGAGGGUGAUCGGCCACACUGGAACUGAGACACGGUCCAGACUCCUACGGGAGGCAGCAGUAGGGAAUCUGCCGCAAUGGGCGAAAGCCUGACGGAGCAACGCCGCGUGAGUGAUGAAGGUCUUCGGAUCGUAAAACUCUGUUAUGAGUGAAGAACAAAUGUGUAAGUAACUAUGCACGUCGUGACGGUACCUAAUCAGAAAGCCACGGCUAACUACGUG
rnacentral:rRNA from 1 species